UCGAGGCGUGCCUCACACAAAAUUUGAUUAUAUUUAUUUCAUGUUUUCUUGUUUGUUGCUAGGAUACAAGAUUUUCCCAAAAAUAUUUUGUAUGCCCGCUAGAGAGCGGGGGAAGGUGGAGAGUAAGCUGGGUUUAAUUAAAAACAAAAAGAGCCAGCCAAUCCAUUUUGUUGAAGUUCUAGCAGUUGCUUAGAAAUAAAAAUCUGAUUUCUCAGCCAGAGGGAAUUUUCCAGGAAUGCCUUUGCCCAGUUUCAGAUGGGCCUGAAACCGGACCGAAAAGGUGGCAAUUAGGCACUGCAGAAUAAAAUGCCCAGAACGAAUGCGAGAACAGAAACCAAUUAAUUCGCAUUGAUUUUAAUUGAAUCCAAUUACAAAUCCAGAAAAUAUAUUGACAGAUUUGAAAGCCA